CAGCAGCCGCGGGAAUACGGAGGGCGCGAGCGUUACCCGGAUUUACUGGGCGUAAAGGGCGUGUAGGUGGCCUGGGGCGUCCCAUGUGAAAGGCCACGGCUCAACCGUGGAGGAGCGUGGGAUACGCUCAGGCUAGAGGGUGGGAGAGGGUGGUGGAAUUCCCGGAGUAGCGGUGAAAUGCGCAGAUACCGGGAGGAACGCCGAUGGCGAAGGCAGCCACCUGGUCCACUUCUGACGCUGAGGCGCGAAAGCGUGGGGAGCAAACCGGAUUAGAUACCCGCGUAGUCCCUGUCUCUUAUAC
rnacentral:rRNA from 1 species